rnacentral:rRNA from 1 species
AGCUCCAAUAGCGUAUAUUAAUGUUGUUGCAGUUAAAAAGCUCGUAGUUGGAUCUCUAACGCACGCGGCCGGUCCGCCCCUCACGGGGUGUGCACUGUGCCGUCGUGCGUUAUCCUGGGGGAGAGCGUCUCGCGCAUUAGGUUGUGUGGGUCGGGAUCCUCCACGUUUACUCAAAAUAAAUAAGAGUGUUCAAAGCAGGCGAUUGCUGUGAAUUCUUCAGUUGGGAAUAAUAAGAUAGGACUCGGGGACUAUUUUGUUGGUUUGCAUCUCCGAGUAAUGAUUAAUAGGGACAGUUGGAGAUAUUCAUAUUCAGUUGUCAGAGGUGAAAUUCUUGGAUUUACGGAAGAUGAACUACUGCGAAAGCAUUUAUCGAGGAUGUUUUCU